ensembl:lncRNA
AGGAAAUAAAUUGCACCGUAUUGAAGCUUUACUCCGGGUUCAGGCGAAUGAUACACUCUCUUAGUCAUUUGCCAGGCAGUUAGCGAGCAGGGUGUGCCAGACGUGUCCCUAAGCAGUGGGACUUGGCUGGGCUGCCAGCUGCCCCCGCAGGCCCCACGAUGCAGACCUGCCCAAGGUGAGAUGAACUCAUCUUGAGAGAGCUGACUGGCACAGGCAUGCUCUGCUGGCCAGAGAACAGGCAGGUGUCCCCAUCCCAUUCCCGUCUUCCUCACUUCUCAUGCCCAACGAAGUGCAGCAAGCUCUGACGGAUAUCCUGUCUGCUCUCCCUUUUGAGCUUAGUCUCUCUCUCUUUCUCUGGCUCCUGUGCGCUCGCUCGCUUUCUUUUUUCCCAGCCCCAUCACUUAUUCAUGGAACAGGUUCAACUCCCAGCACUGAUGUCUGGAAACGACUCGUGGACACAGAAGUGACAGUGGGUGGUUUCGAGAGUGGCCAGCGUGGAUAAUAGCAGCCGGGCAAUGGAGCAGCAUAACAAAAAGGAGAGCCAGAACAAAGCCCGACAAUUACAGUAAGAAAGAAUUCAUCGCUGUGGGGCAAGGUGGACAGCACAGAGCCACGCUCAUCUUACACGGCUCUCACACAGACUGGCAAAAGGCAUCCAGCCCAUCAGGAGCCUCUGAGAGGAAACAGGAUGGGGAAUUCCAAACAAAGAGACAGGCAAACAACGAGUUGCUGGCCGCUCCAUUAUGGCCUUGUUUGCUCCUUGUAUGCAGGAUCAUCCAUACAAUAAAAGCGAAAUUAAAAGUUCUCAGAUGUGCGGCACUGUUGGCACAUGCUGCUAGCGUACGCAUAUUCUCUCCGCCCCCGGAUGGAUUGAAGAUACCACCUUCACUUGGGAGUGAAGGCCAGAGAGGAGAAAACGUGAGGGGAUGCCUUCUGCCUAUCGGGCACAAGAGUGUUUGCAUGUUGACUUCAGAGCCAAAUCAGGAGGCAACGAAGGGGACAGGCCACAGCUUUCAGCAACAUGUCAACUGGACACAGUAACUCAUAAAAUAUCCUCUGUGCGCAUGAAAAAUGCAGGCUGACUCCAGGAGAAGGGUAUGUAUAAUUGAUUCAAAUGAGGAGCUCUUCCCUGCCAGGGACCGUGCGCUCAGUUUGCCAGCUGCUGUGCUGGGAGAACAGAAUGUAGGCCAGAGGAAGAAGAAAGGUGCUCCGGACACAGCCUGACCCGGUGGGAGAGAAGAAAUGAUAGAGGACAUACCACAUCAAGCCCCAGGCCAUGACGUGUAUGACGUUAGUAAGAGUUUCUUUCAAAUGCAUCACUAGCAUCGUUUGCAUUAGCUGAUGCAGGACAGUCGCAUAACACCCUCGUUAAAUAAGCUAGUGACAACCAAAGAUAUGAAAAAAGUUUGAAUUCAGCCUUGUGUUAUAUGUUAAAGGGACAGUUCAUCUAAAUUAAAAUUCUGUCUUCAUUUACGCACCCUUACGUCAUCAACGUGACUGACUUUCUUUUUCUGUGGAACACAAUAUAUAUAUAUAU